UACGUAGGUGGCAAGCGUUGUCCGGAAUUAUUGGGCGUAAAGCGCGCGCAGGUGGUUUCUUAAGUCUGAUGUGAAAGCCCACGGCUCAACCGUGGAGGGUCAUUGGAACUGGGGAACUUGAGUGCAGGAGAGAAGAGUGGAAUUCCAGCGUGUAAGCGGUGAAAUGCGUAGAGAUGUGGAGGAACACCAGUGGCGAAGGCGACU
rnacentral:rRNA from 1 species